rnacentral:rRNA from 1 species
UUGGACCUACGGGGGGCAGCAGUGAGGAAUAUUGGUCAAUGGGCGAGAGCCUGAACCAGCCACGUCGCGUGAAGGAUGACGGCCCUACGGGUUGUAAACUUCUUUUGUCAGGGAGCAAUUGGGUCCACGUGUGGGCUUAGCGAGAGUACCUGAAGAAAAAGCAUCGGCUAACUCCGUGCCAGCAGCCGCGGUAAUACGGAGGAUGCGAGCGUUAUCCGGAUUUAUUGGGUUUAAAGGGUGCGUAGGCGGAAUAUCAAGUCAGCGGU